CGCUGUCCCGCCUCUGGGUCAAGUCUGCAGCCAGCAGUUCUGUGGAUGCUACCCGCCUUCCCCAGGUGGAUCUCGUUAACCGCCAAGAGCCAGGUGAGAAGAGGGUAGUGCUGUACUCAGGCCACAUGGAGACAGGCCAGUGUGCUAUGGCAAAUGCCACAAAGUCCAUGGGUCUGGCAACGAUGGGAAAAUGAAGAUGAAAACUUCUUGGAGCUCAGCUAACGGGAAAGAACUCCCCAUUUCACCUUCCUGAGCAGUGGAACCCGUGGCUCAGAAACAGCGACUGCCCAUGAAACGUCAGCUCGCAAAUACAUUCC